rnacentral:lncRNA from 1 species
UUAAAAAUUCAACUGUUCUAUGUAUUCAUAUAUUUUAUAUUGAGAAUUAAGUUUGUCAAAUAAUUUUUGUUUGAUUGUUUUCGUUUCUUAAUUAUUCAGUGUUUUCCACGUACUAGUUGUAUAAAGAUUUUCGUUCUGCUUAUUAUGGCAGUACAGAAGACAACUCAAGGCAUACUGGACAUAAAUUCACUUUUCUACCACUUACGAAAGUACCAAUAUCAUACGUUGAAAACGGACUGGAAGAUACUGAUAAUAAUAAUGGCUUUAUGCAAUAUAGCAGUGCAGCAGUUCACCCAAGGCUUGCUGGGACAGUCAUUUGCAUUCAUAGCA